GCCGCAGUAGCUCAGCCCGGGAGAGCGUCCCGCUGAAGACGGGGAGGUCGCAUGUUCAAAUCCUGCCUGCGGCA
rnacentral:tRNA from 1 species